GAAACUACGAAAGAAGUUGACGGGGCCCGCACAAGCGGUGGAGUAUGUGGUUUAAUUCGAUGCAACGCGAAGAACCUUACCUAGGUUUGACAUCCGGAAGACCUUCCCGAAAAGGAAGGGUGCCCUUCGGGGAAUUCCGAGACAGGUGCUGCAUGGCUGUCGUCAGCUCGUGCCGUGAGGUGUUGGGUUAAGUCCCGCAACGAGCGCAACCCUAUUGCCAGUUGCUACCAGGUAAUGCUGGGCACUCUGGUGAGACUGCCCCGGUUAACGGGGAGGAAGGUGGGGACGACGUCAAGUCAUCAUGGCCCUUACGCCUAGGGCUACACACGUACUACAAUGGCGCAUACAAGGGGCAGCGAUACCGCGAGGUGGAGCCAAUCCCAAAAAGUGCGUCCCAGUCCGGAUUGCAGUCUGCAACUCGACUGCAUGAAGUUGGAAUCGCUAGUAAUUCGAGAUCAGCAUGCUCGGGUGAAUGCGUUCCCGGGCCUU
rnacentral:rRNA from 1 species